rnacentral:rRNA from 1 species
GCGUAAUACCUUGUCGGGUAAGUUCCGACGCGCACGAAUGGCAUAACGGUCUGAUGACUGUCUUAACAAGGGACUCGGCGAAAUUGCAAUAUCCGUGAAGAUGCGGAUUACCCGUAGCUGGACGAAAAGACCCCAUGGAGCUUUACUACAACUUGGCGUUGGGUCAGCGUUUCAAAUGUUUAGAAUAGGUGGGAGUUUUACCGCAAGGUAGGACACCAGUGAAAUACCACCCUUUUGUGAUGUUGAUUCUAAUCAGUUUCCGUGAAUCCGGAAACCGAGACAGCGCCUGGCGGGUAGUUUGUCUGGGGCGGACUCCUCCCAAAAUGUAACGGAGGAGUUUACCAAGGUACGCUUAGCGCGGAUGGAAAUCGCGCCGGACGUGCAAACGCACAAGCGUGCUUUACUGCAAGACCUACAAGUCGCGCAGUCACGAAAGUGGAAGUUAGUGAUCCGACCGUACGAAAUAGGACGGCGGAAGCUCAUCGGAUAAAAGUUACCCUGGGGAUAACAGGCUAGUCUGGUCCAAGAGUCCAUAUCGACGACCAGGUUCGGCACCUCGAUGUCGGCUCGACAAGGGUCGCUAUUCGAGUAAUCGAAUAUGAAAUAACGAGCUCAUAACGGUGAAUUCCAUGAUGGUGUAUACUACCCAGACCAUAUGGAUAAUACCGUGGGAAGUCAGCAAAGAAAUAUAAAAUUGCUUGACCCCGUAACGACUGAUUCCGUAACCAAUCGGAUGAGAUAGAGAAUUUCUGAUGUAACUUGAAUAUACAUUCUUUAUCAGACGCUCGUCUCCUGAUGUCUGUCAGGAUGAAGGUAUAGUCUACACUUCAAGUAAUUGAAGAUUAUGUGCAUCGCAUCCUAGGGCUGGAGAAGGUCCUAAUGGUCCGGCUGUUCGCCGGUUAAAGCGAUACGCGAGCUGGGUUCAGAACGUCGUAAGACAGUUCGGUCUCCUAUCCGCUACGGGCAUUGAAGAGUGAGAGGGCCAUUCUCUAGUACGAGAGGACCGAGAAUGACAAACCUCUUGUGUACCAGUUGUCCCACCAGGGGCAUUGCUGGGUAGCGACGUUUGGCACGGAUAAGCGCUGAAAGCAUAUAAGCGCGAAGCCGUCCUCAAGAUUGCUCUUCGUUUGAGACUCCCGGAAGACGACCGGGUUGAUAGGCACUAGGUGUACACGUGGUAACACGUUGAGCCAAGGUGUACUAAUAAGUCGAGCG